AGGAUAAUAGCUUAAUUGGUAAAGCAUACCGCUCAUAACGGUAAAAAUAUUGGUUCAAUUCCAGUUUAUCCUA